AGCGGAGUAGAGUAAUAGGUCAACUCAUGACCUGAAGACUGCAGGUUCGAAUCCUGUCCCCGCCU
rnacentral:tRNA from 1 species